GUGCUGGCAUAUAUGUGAGAAGUCUUUCAUUGAACACAUGCACCUGGUGUUGCUAUGGAACUAUCUGAUGGACAGCUGGAGAGAGGCAUCAUCUGCCAGGAUUCUAGAGUCAUCACAGCAGUGCCGUGACCUCUUCCUGGCUAAGCUGCUUCAAGGUAGAAACAAGCUCAUCUUCCUCGUGGCCCAGAGGCUCGGGCUUUGCCUUCUGCAGAAGUGCUGGGUAACCGGAACACACAUGGGAGCAACUUACUCAGACUGUGUAGUCACUGUCCUUGAAGGUCAUGCAGACAUGCAUCACUGACUGCAGGAUGCUGUAUCCAGAAUCCAGACUACUAUCCUACAAGGACAGGGAAGUCACACCAGUAAGCAAAGGAAGAAAGGGCCUUAAGGAAUCUUUCUCAGCUCUACCUUGCUGAUGGAGCUUUUUUUAUACUUCCAGAUGUCUAAGGUAUGGGUUACUUGUCAGAAGCCAACACGAGGGGACUGGAUUUAUUAUUCUUCUUUCUCUCUUUUUAUAAGGCCGAGCAGUGGUCCCCCACCCCUUUUUUCAUUUUAAAGAUUUAUUUAU